UGUUUCAGAGAGCUGCCAGGCCCAGAUGUGUUCACUCUAAAUGAAAACACAGUUAAGCCUCAGUCGCAGGUCUGGCGCUGCAGGAUCGCAACAAUUAGCCCAGUGUUUCUUCCUCUGCAGUGCCUGCAGACCUCAAAACAGCAAAGCUGUUCAUCUUUCUCUCUCUCUCUCUCUCUCUCUCUCUCUCAUCUAUCUAUCUCUUUGCAUCACUCUUUCUCAAAGCCUGUGCCUUUGGCUCCAGUGUUGGGGAAGCUACUUUGAAACAGGAGCUACACAAGCUGCUACAAGCUACAGUACAGGUCUGCAGAGAUUUCUCUGACCGUGGUGGACGUGUAAAGAAAGCACAAAUCUAAAGCUGAAAACGACAUUUUUCCUCAGAAACCAUGAGUUCUCUGAAAGAUGUUUAAGGACACUAGAUGGCUGAAAUGUUGUUCAUGCCAAUGAGCAUUUAGUGGAAAUAAAAGAAUACUGGCUGAACUUUCCACCGAUGACGAAUUUGCCCUUUCGGACUGUGUGCAUACCGAUGGAUUUCAACAGACCCCAACUGCACAACAACAGACUGGUAUUGAUAUGAAAGGGCAAUGGUGAGAAUUGCCUGUAUUGCCAAGGGUGCGGUGGGGUUAUCAAAGCCCAGGGCUUUUAUCCAAUAUGAAUUGCUCUUUUGUGCAGGGGCAUGUAUGUAUUAAACAGCUGAUGACUAUGAAUGUAGACUGGCAUCUGUUGGCAUCCUUGAAGCACAUUGGCUUGCAUUGUUUUCCUCUGAGCACAUGAGAUCAGUUGGCUUAACCUCCUGAGACCCGUGUGUGACUGCUGUGUGCCUUUUCC